UGAUUCUCAAAUGGAUUAAAGAUCGAAGAAUUGCUGUUUUGGUAUCAAGAGGAGAGAGCAUUUUAGUGCGGUUACAUCACAGAAUGACUGGGAAGUGUGGACUUUGCCAGCUCAUUUGUUUUCUUGACAGAAGGACAUGGGUGGGUCUGCUGAGGCCAGUGCUUCUGUCCAGUCCUCUCUGAGUUCUCGGUCUGCUUCAGCUCCAGCCCACACCCUGGGCAGGCUUCCCUGUCUGCAGUUCCGCCCUCUGCUCUUUGAGGCCCCGGUGCCUCUGUUUGCCUAUCCGGAUCUCUCUGUUGUCUGCAGAGCUCCACUUGCCUUGGUGACCUUCUUCGUGCUCUUCCUUCUUGAUGUGUCCUUGCCUCAACUUUGGAUCUUACAGUUUAUUCUUUCAACUUCAAUCUCAAUGAACUCCUGCCUGAAAAAAAAUCCCAAACUCCCUCACUCAGAAUUCAUGUUUCCCACUUCGGUAGACAUAAUACUUUGUCUGUGGCAUUUUUUUAUAUGCACUUCCCCAC
rnacentral:lncRNA from 1 species